UGCCAGCAGCCGCGGUAAUACGUAGGGAGCGAGCGUUGUUCGGAUUUACUGGGCGUAAAGAGCACGUAGGCGGGUACGCAAGUCUGUUGUGAAAUCCUCUGGCUCAACCAGAGAAUAGCAGCCGAAACUGCGUACCUUGAGUCCAGCAGAGGAAAUCGGAAUCCGGGGUGUAGCGGUGAAAUGCGUAGAUAUUCUGGAGAACACCAGUGGCGAAGGCGGAUUUCUGGGCUGGUACUGACGCUGAGGUGCGAAAGCUAGGGGAGCGAACAGGAUUAGAUA
rnacentral:rRNA from 1 species